AAACAAUUGGGGAUUUAGCUCAGUGAUAAGAAUCCCUGGAUUCAAUGUCCAGUACUAGAAUUUUUUUUAAAUGUGGCUUAGAAAAAUCAAGUAAUCAGCUGUCAUAGUUUAAAUCUUGAAUGUCCUCCGAAGACCUAUGCUUGGUUCUCAACCCAUGGUGCUAUUGAGAAGUGGAGGGGCCCUUAGGAAGUGGGGCCCAAAGGGAGGUUUUAGGGUCACUGGGACUGUGUCCUCAAAGAGGAUUGUGGGACACUAGUCUUUUUCUCUUUCUCUUUCCUUCCAACCACAAGGUAAACAGGUCGCCUCAGUGGUAUGCUCCCCACCAGGAUGUACUACCUUGCCUCGGGCCCAGAAGUAGCAGGGCCAACCACCAUGGACUGAAACCUCCAAAACUCAUUAUGCUUUCCAAUCCAUCCAUGUUGUAUCCUGCAUCAGAAUUUCCUAAGGCUGAAUGUUAUUCUGCUCUACGCAUAUACUGCAUUCUGUUUAUCCAUUCAUCCAUCAAUGGGCACUUGAGUUGCUUAUUUGCUGCUGCAAAUAAGCAUCCUAGUGGAAGUGGCCUUGAAAAGGAUUAAGCACGGUGCUCCAGCACUCAAAAAUGGAAGAGAUUUAUCUAGGAAGCCCAAAGGAGUGACAUUUACCUGAGCCUCGAAAGAUAAGCAAGAAUUCUUCAGGAAGAGGAGGAAAACCACACAGGAGAAAGAGCUUAACAUGCACUCAGAAGUGGAGAGAGACGAAAAUUUGUAUGGCCUAUUUAGAAGCACAAGUAGGGUCAGCACGGCCUGGGCUGGAAUGUAGUUUAUAGGGCAGAAUGUCAAGAUGUGAGGCAUGAGCCAGGUACAGUGGUCUAUGCCUGUAAUCCUAGCGGUGAGGGAGGCUGAGGCCCAAGGAUCACAAGUUCAAAGCCAGACUCUGCAAAAGUGAGGUAUUAAGGAACUCAGUGAGAUCCUGCCUCUAAAUAAAAUACACAAUAGGGCUGGGGAUGGGGCUCA
rnacentral:lncRNA from 1 species